rnacentral:misc_RNA from 1 species
GAUGAAGAACGUAGCGAAAUGCGAAAAGUAAUGUGAAUUGCAGAAUUCAGUGAAUCAUCGAAUCUUUGAACGCACAUUGCGCCCGCCAGUAUUCUGGCGGGCAUGCCUGUCUGAGCGUCAUUUCAACCCUCACGCCCCUAGGGCGUGGUGUUGGGGAUCGGCCAAGGCCCGCAAGGGACGGCCGGCCCCUAAAUCUAGUGGCGGACCCAUCGUGGCCUCCCCUGCGAAGUAGUAAUAUAUUCCGCAUCGGAUAGCGAUGAGCCCCUGCCGUUAAACCCCCAACUCUUUCAAGGUUGACCUCAGAUCAGGUAGGAAUACCCGCUGAACUUAAGCAUAUAAUAAGCGGAGGA